CCUACGGGAGGCAGCAGUGGGGAAUUUUGGACAAUGGGCGCAAGCCUGAUCCAGCCAUGCCGCGUGUGGGAAGAAGGCCUUCGGGUUGUAAACCACUUUUGUCAGGGAAGAAACGGUCUGAACUAAUACUUUGGACUAAUGACGGUACCUGAAGAAUAAGCACCGGCUAACUACGUGCCAGCAGCCGCGGUAAUACGUAGGGUGCAAGCGUUAAUCGGAAUUACUGGGCGUAAAGCGUGCGCAGGCGGCUUUGCAAGACAGAUGUGAAAUCCCCGGGCUCAACCUGGGAACUGCAUUUGUGACUGCAUGGCUAGAGUACGGUAGAGGGGGAUGGAAUUCCGCGUGUAGCAGUGAAAUGCGUAGAUAUGCGGAGGAACACCGAUGGCGAAGGCAAUCCCCUGGACCUGUACUGACGCUCAUGCACGAAAGCGUGGGGAGCAAACAGGAUUAGAUACCCUGGUAGUCCACGCCCUAAACGAUGUCAACUGGUUGUUGGGAGGGUUUCUUCUCAGUAACGAAGCUAACGCGUGAAGUUGACCGCCUGGGGAGUACGGCCGCAAGGUUGAAACUCAAAUGAAUUGAGGNGNGAGAGUGCGACGACGACGACGAGGGAGGAGG
rnacentral:rRNA from 1 species